rfam:Triticum aestivum genome assembly, contig: Triticum_aestivum_CS42_TGACv1_scaffold_423326_5BS
UACGUACUCCCUCCGUUCCAAAAUAGAUGACUCAAUUUUGUACUAAAGGUAGUACAAAGUUGAGUCAUCUAUUUUGGAACGGAGGGAGUACAAG